AAUCCGGCGUCAAGCACCCUCACGUUGCUCAGGAUCCUCCGUGCUCCAAGACUGACAGAGCAAGAGAGGAUUGUUUAAUUCACGAAUCACAAUGGCUAUUGAUUAGUUAUUCUGGAGCUCUGCACCCUCAUGUUUCAUGCCUUGAUCGCUAAUUUUCCUAGGGAAACGUACGCGCACUUUUUAAAUCCCUAAUUAAGCACGUAGCCCAAAGCAAAUUAUUGGUGCUCAUUUAUUCUAGUUUUUUUCCUUCCCCUGAAUCUGAAUAUGUUAAAGGUCACUUAGGUUCCCAAACUAUAAUUUUGCAUAAUCCUAUGUCAUUUGACCUUAAGUUUUUGCUAAGUGAUUCACCAGAGGUACGUCCAAUCUCUCCGGUUUGUGUUGAUCCGUCUGCUUAGCGUUGAGAGGACUUGAGCUGUACGCUUAACAAGUUCAAAACUAUUAAUAAAGUGCAAAUUAAUAGUUUGAAGUAUCGGAUUACAUCCAAAGCUGAGGUGCUGCUACUCUGUAACCCUUUUUUUCUCCAAGCUUCUGGAAUCACUUUUUGCUUCCUUUUUUAUUUCCCUCGUGAGACCGAUCACUGAACAGAUGCUUCAAGAGAAAAAUUUGAAAGUUUUUGUUUAAAGCAAAUUUGAAAGUGACUAACCACCAUGUGUACCUUGGACGGCUCUACCAUGUGGUGGACAUAUGCACAUGCACGCCGGUUUUUAAACCGUUCCUAGGACAGACAGAGCUCCUGCUGCCAGAAAAGAUAAGCUGAGCCAGCCUCUCCGCAAACAAGGAAUGCUAAAAUUGUGUAGCAGUGGUCCAAGCUCCCUCCACUUGCCCACUACUCCGACCACUUUGUUUUUUUUUUUUUUGAGGGUCAACGGGGGGGAGAUCCCCACCUGAUUCCCUGUGUCCUGAGAGUUCCUGAGAGCUGUUCCUUUUUCUGGAGUGUGAUCACUACAACGACUAGUGGCACGGUGGAGUGUGACCUCCACCUGAGAGUUCCUGAGAGCUGUUCCUUUUUCUGUUGUUGUUGAUAUGAUGUUGCCCAUCCACACAUGUA
rnacentral:lncRNA from 1 species